UACGGAGGGUGCAAGCGUUAUCCGGAAUCACUGGGUUUAAAGGGUGCGUAGGCGGCCUGUUAAGUCAGGGGUGAAAGGUCACGGCUCAACCGUGGAAUUGCCUUUGAUACUGACGGGCUUGAAUCAGGAUGAGGUCGGCGGAAUGUGGCAUGUAGCGGUGAAAUGCAUAGAUAUGCCAUAGAACACCAAUUGCGAAGGCAGCUGGCUAGACCUUGAUUGACGCUGAGGCACGAAAGCGUGGGGAGCGAAC
rnacentral:rRNA from 1 species